AGAGUGCUAACAUACUCAGCACUCAAUAAAUAUUCGGAGGAUGAAAUGACACGCCGGCAGACAAGAACCCACGUCAGCUGCUCUUCCAGCAUCAGGCAGUCCUGCCAGAAGCACCAUACAGGCAUCCACUCAGCCUGAGAUGGCUCCCAGCUCUCAUCCACCCCAGUGGAGCUGCAGCCAGUGUGCAGUAAUGAUAAUGGUUCCUUUAGGGCUAAACUUCCAGAACUGGACCCAAGGAGGAAGGAAGAUGUGAGGAAGGCACCAAACAGGUCCAGCCCCGAUCAUCCAUGUUAGAGGACUGAGGGAAGGAAAAGGGAAGAGCUCCAUGAGGCAGAAGCCAAGAAAGAGGUCAGUGGAAGGAGACCUGAUGUGUUUUCUAAAUCUCUCUACUGAUUUCACCCCAUUCUUCUCCAUCCCCAACCAGGGUGGAGUAGAGAGAGACCCAGAUGCCUGUCUGUUCUGCUCCCUAUGCCCAUCAUGACGCCCCAUGCCGAACUUCCACUCUAAUGGAAGUCAGUGGGACCGACCAGAGGCUACAUCCUGGACCACUCUGCUCUGGGACCUUUCAAGAUCCAAGACUCAUUCUUUUCAUACUUUAUUUCCAAAGAGGGAACAGAUGAAGUUCUCUCAACUUCCCUUUCCUAUCUGAUCCCUAAUAUUGUUCACAAAUGCUAGUUGUGCUUAUCACCAUUCUUAGUUUUUAAUAUUAUUUCUCCAUCACUAGACUAUAGGCAAACCAAGGACAGAAGCUUCCUCUUGUCCUCUCCUAUAUCACCUGUAACUAGGACAAGAUCUGCCUCAUUGUAGCUAUUCAAUAAUUGUGGAUGGAGAUUUGAAAUGUUUGCUCAAAAAUAAGUUGACCCUUAGGCUGGGCUCUGUGCUGUUCUGGGGGCCCA
rnacentral:lncRNA from 1 species